AUUUAGGUAGUUUAUAAUUAAAAAUAUUGAUUUGUGGGAUCAGUGAAAUUUAAUAAAUAUUAAAUUCUAAAUU
rnacentral:tRNA from 1 species